rnacentral:rRNA from 1 species
AACGAACGCUGGCGGCAGGCUUAACACAUGCAAGUCGAGCGCCCCGCAAGGGGAGCGGCAGACGGGUGAGUAACGCGUGGGAAUCUACCGUGCCCUACGGAAUAGCUCCGGGAAACUGGAAUUAAUACCGUAUACGCCCUACGGGGGAAAGAUUUAUCGGGGUAUGAUGAGCCCGCGUUGGAUUAGCUAGUUGGUGGGGUAAAGGCCUACCAAGGCGACGAUCCAUAGCCGGUCUGAGAGGAUGAUCAGCCACAUUGGGACUGAGACACGGCCCAAACUCCUACGGGAGGCAGCAGUGGGGAAUAUUGGACAAUGGGCGCAAGCCUGAUCCAGCCAUGCCGCGUGAGUGAUGAAGGUCUUAGGAUUGUAAAGCUCCUUCACCGAUGAAGAUAAUGACGGUAGUCGGAGAAGAAGCCCCGGCUAACUUCGUGCCAGCCGCCGCAGUAAGAC